rnacentral:rRNA from 1 species
UACGGGGGGGGCAAGCGUUAUUCGGAAUUACUGGGCGUAAAGGGCUCGUAGGCGGCCAACUAAGUCAGACGUGAAAUCCCUCGGCUUAACCGGGGAACUGCGUCUGAUACUGGAUGGCUUGAGUUUGGGAGAGGGAUGCGGAAUUCCAGGUGUAGCGGUGAAAUGCGUAGAUAUCUGGAGGAACACCGGUGGCGAAGGCGGCAUCCUGGACCAACACUGACGCUGAGUGAGCGAAAGCCAGGGGAGCAAACGGG